UUUCUCUAAUUUUUCUGCCACGGUGUGGCGCCACGUAUGCGUCUGGUCCAAACAGCUGUCAAAUAGUAUGGAAUUGUAGGGUCCGAACUAAUUGUUUAUUGAAAUUCUGUUAUAUUGGAAGUAUUAUUGAUUUUAUUAUGGACUACGGUUGGAAUAAGUUUUCCGAACUAAAAAUUGAGCUUAGAAAGAGGGGUGCAAAAGUCACUGGUACUAAGGAAAAGCUCGUUGAACGGCAGAUAACGCAACGUACUAGAAUUUGUUUACACAAUAUGAUUUAGUUUUUUUAUCUACUCAACUGUAAUUGUAAAACACUAAUGCAGUGCCUUAAUUAUACAAUAAAAAUCACUAAAAUCAUAAGCACUUUGACGGGUACUUGGACCUGACGCCUCGGUGCUGCCACCUCGUGGACGCCAUUUUAGAAAACCCUCAUUGAAAACUUUUUUCAUCGGUUUUUUACAAAUAUCUCCAAAAAUAUACGUUAUAUCGAAAAUUUUAUAAAGAAUAAAAUUGUAGCAGGUAAAACAAUGAACAAUUAGAUUUUUUAUAAAGUGUUCUAAGUGCAAUACUAUAGAAUAGCUAGACAUUAAAGAUCAAAGUCGUUUUUUAUUUUGUCUGAAAUUUGAUCGAUUCGAUCGAUUUUUGAGAAUAAAAAAAAUAUUCCCAAGAAAGUGGAAAUUAGGAUGAUUAUUGACUGUUCAGGGGCCCGAUUCUCCUAAUUGUACUUAAGCGACCGAUUCACAUUCGACUGCGAUCCAAUCACGACUCGAUUACGAUUCCGCUAUUUUUUCUUUGAAAUAAACGUUUUUAUCCUUUUCUGUCAUUCAAUAAUGAAUCAUUUUGUCUGCAAAUGGUUUACGAUUGCAAUAUGAUUGUGGAGGAAACUACCGUAUAGACCAAAAUUACCAAAAUAGCAGACCAAUCGCAAACCAAUCGUAUGUCGUUGGAAUACGAUUGGUCUUAUAUGUAUUAGUAGCAGAAUGCCCGUUAAGGUUAAAACUGCUAUUGCGAUUCGAUUUCUAUUUCAAUGUUGACAUUAUUACCUUAGGAGAAUCGGGCCCCAGGACUUCAAAGUUAGCGAUAAAAAUCUUAAUUUUCUCUUAAACUACAAUAUUUAUUAUUUGAGUACAUAAAAUAAAUACCUAUGUUGCAUUUUAAAGAGAAUGUUUUCUGACUAAGGUUUCCUCUUGUGUGUUGCGAAUAAAAUAACAGAUGGGUGUAGUACCUAUACAAGGUUUGUAUUGCAACCAUUUCUUAUACCCGAUUGCCAAAGAGGGUUGUGUUUUCUUUAUUUUAUUUUUGUGAGUAGCUGGAUAAGUGCCUCAUUAGCGCAUUGGAUUGUUAUCUGUUAUGUUGGUUAUAAGGUUGAUGAAUAAAUAAAUAUUUUAGGAUCCCACUACUGUCUUAUGAGGGCUACCGCGUAUAAAUCGCUUGUGUGGCGCGAGGUCUUCGAAACGUCAAAUGCCACUGUUUUUACGCGCGCGGGUUUAUUUUUCGAAUUAAAUUAUUAUUGCGAAUAUUUAACAAUACUUUAGAUUAAUUAUGGCAAAUACAGAUUACGGAUCUAUAAAUGUCACUGCUUUGACACACUUUUAUCAUUCGGAAACUUAUGUCCGCCUUUCUUUUUCGAGCAAAACGGCACUGCGCAACACUGUGGCAUCGCCAAUACGUUCACACUAUAGUUCUAUUGUAUUAAAUAUGAUUUAACAUAAUCAUCUAAUGUAGAUUAUAAGUUUUGGCGCCCAUAAUACGAACUUUGAUUGCCGUAGUUUAGGACCUCACGCUACAGUUGCGCUAUCUGGUGAAACAAAAAACGGUAGCCCCCAUUGGAUCUAAUUCAACAAAUAGAAAGUAAGGCCGCCUUGAGACUAGAAGAAAGGUUUUACUCACGCAACUACAUAGGUAGGUAUACUACCUUACAUAAUUUAGAUUUUGUAAAUGUAAAAUCCCUUCGAAAAUUGCUAAUAGUAAUUCCUUAGAACUUCUUACAAGUUAAUUUUUACGGAAGCAGUCGAGUAUAUAAAUGUGCAAUCAUUAUCUCGUAUGGAAAAUAAAACCAUUGAUAAAAUAACAA